rnacentral:lncRNA from 1 species
AUGGCCUAACACAGUGACAAAGCAAGUCACAAAGGACAAAGAAUCAAAACGACAUUAGGUUGCUUUUUAGUAAUCCUGGGAAUUAGAAGACAAUGGUCAGGACUUUUGAGACUGUGAGGUAAAAGUAUUUCCCACCUAGGUAACCUAGGGAAGCCAUCAAUCAAAUGUGCAGAGAGUAACACAUUUUCAGGCGUUUCAGAUGUAAAAGCACUGAACAUGUUGCUUCUUAAGUCCCCUUUCCUAAGUCCCCUUUCUCAGAACACUAUGGGAGGAUGUAUGCAACAAAAACAGGGAACAAACCAAGGAAGAGGAAGAAAAGAGAUUCCAGAAAUGAGAAACUUAAUGGAGAAGGGCAGAGAAGGUAAAUCUCAGGCUGAAGAGAGAGGUCCUAAGAGGACAGUCGAGUAGCAGAUCCAGCAAGCAAGGAGUUCAGAGAAGAGCCAGGAAACAGAGGGGAAAACGAAACAGAUACAUUCGAUUGAACGGAGAUGAUUUCUGAUUAGUGAGUGGUAGAGAUGUGGAGCACUUAGAAAAAAUUAACAAUAGAUACUAGACAUCAGGCGAGUUAAAAAGGGGUUAUUAACUCCAGAACAAAGGAGGGCUGUAUAAAAAAGAAUGCAUAGUCAUAAUGUGUAAUGGCCUCGACAGUGCUUGUCCUCAAUCAAAAACUGGAACAUAAUGAUGAUGAGAGGAUGGGGGGAGAGAAGCAGGAGGGAGAUGGGAGAUUUACCUGCUAUUUACCAUGGCAAAAGCUAAUGCCCAAAACUGAUGUAUCAAAAAAAAAUACUGUGUAAGCGUAUAUUUAAAAAUUGAGUUAAAAACUAGAGGAAACACCCAGGAGAAUUAAGGGUGAUUAGAACCUAAAGGAGGCACUGGGCUUGGAGAAACAGGGAACAAAGAUUGCUGCUUUUCAUUCUAAACCUUCUAGUAGAAUUAAAUUAUAUGAUGGUAUUAUCUGAAUUCCCCACAUACAGCUUUUUAAAAAUUCAAUCCCUGUAUAUCCGUAAUCCGGCCUGUCAUAUAGUAGGAUCUCAAAUGUAUGCUACAGAAGGAAUGGAGGGAGAGAUCCCGGGACAGGAGGCAUUGGGAAGGACUUCCUGGAAGAGAGAAGACAUGGGCUGCGCCUAGAAGUCUGUGUAGGAUGUGGAUGAGCAGAGGGAGGGACCCUAGUUUUCUGGAGUAGGAGACGAUAGAGCAAAGGGUCUUCAAAGACAGAGCAAGUUAAUUUGUCGUAUCAGCUAAUCAUUCUAGGAGUUUCUGAAUUCUAAGAGAAUUCACAGAGAAUGUCCCAAAGGGAUGGAAGUGGAAAAGCAGAAUGGCAGUCCCCUUGGCCGAUGGGACCUCUCUUGUCUGUUAGCAUAUAACUCUUAAACAGUGCAGUCCCUUCUGAAGGGACCAUAUGGCAUCUCCCAUCCCUUCCCCUCUGCAACCUUCAGGUUUCAUGUAUUAUUUCUUUCAGAGUGGGAGUACUCAAACCUCUGAUAGCAGAAUUAUCUGAAGAGCUUUUCCCAAAUAUUACCAUCUUGAUCCCAUUCCCAGAGAGGCCAACUCCACUGAUCUGGGAGGAGCCCCAAGACUCAGGGCUGGGGUAGGGCGAAAUGAGAAAGGCACUUGUUCUCAGGCUCCUGCCGGCACAAGGUCAAAUGCUGCCUUUACUUAAGUUUGAUGCUCUGUUCAUCAUGGAUUUUUUAAUUAAUUUUGUUUUGUAAAUACAGGACAUUAUUAUGUAUUUUGAUUAUGGGGUUUGGGGCACUCCUUAAAUUUUGCAGCCCAGGUGAGUAGGCACUCUUUAGCCCCAGCCCUAGUAAACAUCAGCAGUUUUGCUUGAAGCCCGGCCAGGGUCUGAACCGUGGGGCGUAGUCAUUGCUCUGAAGCCUCCAGGGAGGCAGGGCAGGGAUUCCCACAGCCCUGCACAGCCGGAGAUGCAGGACAGGCUGCAGUUGGGGCAGCCCUGAGCUUCUGCAGGCCUUCCAGAGUAAAACCAGCAGCAGCCUGGCCUGGGUGGCUCCCUCUGCUUCCAGGGGCAGUGUCUAGAUGAGCAGAAAGACUCCGUUGCCCCUGUUCUAUGCUGGGAAUCUUCUAUGGAGGCAAAAAAGACAUCUGCACAACCUUGUUUUUCUGGAAAAGUCAUCCAAAUAGUUCCCCGACACAGAACCCUUCAAUUUUCCAAAGGAGUAAAUUAAAUGCCUGCUCAUUGCUUGAAAAGCUAAUGCUCCUCACACUGGUUUGAGGAGAAAUUUUCAAUCCAAUGGAGCUGAAUUUUCUGUGAUAGCUAAUUAUCACUUACCAUGUGUGAGAUAGGGUGCUGGAGGGUUAUCUUUGGGAGGGUUAUCUAAGCGGAUUCUCGUGUCACCUCACGAGGCAGAUACCAUUGUCACCCUAAUUUUACAGAUGAGGAAAUGGAGGCCCAGAGAGGUUGAGUAACUUGCUGGAGGUCACACCGCUGGCAGAGGGGAUAGUUGGUUUUGACGCUCUGUCAUCCUGACCCCCAUCCUUGUGAGUUCUCUAUCAUUCUCACAACAGGAACAGAAAUGUCUAGCGUCUAGACUGUAGCCAGGAAGCCGGGGUCCUAGCAUGGAGCCACUGCAUGAGCUUGGGUGGCCUUCCCACAUGCUGUUCAUUUCCUCACCUGAGAACAGGGAAGGGGACAGCUGUGCUGGCCAUUCUGGCCCGGACAUGCAGGGAUCCUGUGACUGGAGCCAUCUGGGCGUUUCCAGCAGUCACGUGCUCUGCUGUUGUUUGUUCUGAAGAUGCAGGAGCCGUAGAGGAGAAUAACUCACAGAGAAGGGCAGUGGGAAUAUUCCAGGCCAGGGUCUUGGAAACCACCUUAGUCACCUUCUUCAGCAUCCCCUGGUCAGAGGAUUCAGCAGCUCCCAAGCAAGUGCCCAGACAGUGGGGUGUCCCAGUGAACUGAAAGUACCCAUCCCUAAGACAGUGGAUGGUGCCGUUUGAACAGCGUCACUCUUGCGUGGUCAGCUCGGGCUGAUGUGACCAAUUCCACAGACGACCGGGAUAACCGAUUCCACAGACCGGGAUAACCAAUUCCACAGAUCGGGGGGCUUAAACCACAGAAAGGCAUUUCCUUAUGAUUCUGGAACCUGGAAGUUCACAAUCAAGUGAGGAGCAAGAAAUGAAAGCCAGCAUCUGCGUGUCACCUGCAGAGCGCCCUGCAGCUGGUCCUCUCAUUUGCCCUCCAAGUCAGCUCACAGGCUCAGCCUUAACACGAGGAAAGAGCUCCAAGGAGUUAAGAGACAUACACUGACUGUUCUCUCCUUCUGGAACUUUCUCCCUUCCCAUGGGCGCCCACAGCCCCCGGGCUUCCCUGUCAUAACUCUCGUCAUUGCCACCUGCUCCUCGUGGGCCUCCCCCAAGGCUGUGAGCUCCAGAGAGCAGGGUGGUGUCUCUCUUUCUCGCAUCUCUAUUUACAGCAUCCAGCAUAGAGCCUGGCCUCAGAAACCCUCCAAGUGCUUGUUUGUAGCAGACCAUUGUGUGGCUAUGCCCUGAAUCAGAGCUGGAAUUCACCCAAAGGAAAACAGAAAAGAUUCUUUUAGGUGACGUGGGUUUCAAAUAAUUUGAUACGGAAACUUCAGGGAAGUCAUGGGAGAAAUUAGAAUUCUGGACAUCCUUAUGACUAUUUUAAUUCAAUUUCAAUUCAUUUCCACAAACAUUUUUCUCAUGCCUGCUCUGUGCUAGGCACUGCUGAACAAACGGAACAAAAAAUCCACCCUUAUGCAGCUUACAUUCUAAUGGAGAAACAGAAAUGAUACAACAAAGUAAAUAAACAAGUUAUGUGGCAUUUUAGUAGUAAGCACCAUGGAGAAAAAAAUAAAGUGAAGAAAUAGCAAAAGCCACUGCAGAGGCUGCAGGUGGGACUAAGAGUGAAGAGGUGAGUGAGUCAUAUGGGUGUCUGAGGGAACCUGCUCCAGGCAGAGGGAGUGACAAGUGCAAACGCCCUGGGGCAGGAACUGCAAGGAAGUCAGCAAGGCUGGAGUUGCGUGAGCAAUGAAAGAAAGAAAAGAAAGAAGAUUCGUCCAGAGAGGCAAGACUCGGAGGUCUUUGUAGUCCUGCGUAGGCCAUUGUAAAGCCUUUGGUGUUUUACUUUGAGUGAAAUGGGGAGGACUUCACAAAUAAUAGGAUUUAUUUUCAGUCAUAGUGGGAUUUUAUUUGAGGGGGCGGGUUGAAUAGUUGAAUAGCCACCAUAUCUUCCUGUGCCCCCAAACCUGGCUUGAACCCAAGUGCAACUAACGACAAACGUAGUGCCCACUCCGGAACCCAUGCCUCCAAGAAGGGAGAGGCAAGAGAGGAAGAGGCCCUCCACUUUGAAGCCUGAGCCCCGGGCCACGGUGGAGAGAGCUCUGAGCAGCUCUAUGAGGGAGUGUGCGGCCCUCUUGGUGACUUAGCCUCCACAGUGCCAGGAAUGUGGUGUCUGCCACCAGACCGCUAUUGUGAAUUGAAUGGGGAAAAGGUAAAGGGAGAAAUGCAACCCCCAGGGCUGGGGCUGUGCAGCCUGCAGGUUGCGCAAUAGACUCUGCUGGCCUCAGGCCUGGCUCUCCACAAUCUGGUCCCCUCCCCACGCCCUCAGCAAGCCUCUGGGUCACAGGACUAAAAAGCUGCUUCCAAUUAGAUUCACUGAACCCCUUGGGCCCUAGAGGGAGGAACUCGACAGGAGCCAUUGCUCUGGGUGUAGGGAGGAAGAGGAGGAGGUGAUCAGGGAGGUGAGGUGGGAGGAUCAGGCAAGCACCUAAUCACUGCUUGCCUGGGUGCUCACCGCUCCCAAGCAGUGCUGCAGGCUGGUGUGAAGAGAGUGACCCGGGAAGCUCCAAGACCCAGAUUUAAACUCAGUUAUGACGUUUCCAUGAGUGUCAUGACUGAGCAAGAAGGUGAAGAGCCCGCGCCUGUUUCCUCAUCUGCGGAACGGAGCGAACACGCCACCUACUUCAUGAGACUUAACAGACGAUGGAAGUGGAGCAUUCAGCACAGAGCCUGGCACAUGGUGAGCGUACAUUAUGCAGCGGUUCCUUUUCUCAUCGCCCAGUCCACAAGGCUUCCUGUCUCCCUGUGUGCCCAGAUCUCGACAUGGCUCAGCAGGGCCGGGAGCGGGAGGCUUCUGAGCUCAGCCUGAGGGGAGACCUGGGCUGGCUGGGGGUCAAUGCAGGAACCAAAAUAGGAUGCAAGAAAGGAGAAGGCAAUCUACAGGACUGAGUGUCCUUCAAACUUGUUCACUUUCCCAUAGUGAGAAGUUCAUUUUUCACUCUGACUCAGCAUAAACACGUGCAUGUAUGUAACAUGGAGUUAAAAGCUUCAAGAAGCAAUACUGACUCAUGCUCUAGCUUCUAUUCUCUUCUAUUCCAUCAAAAAAUAUUAAAUGCUAGUCACAACCCAAACACAAGAUUUUUAAAGCUAACGAAAAGUCCAAGCCCGGGCCUGGAACACAGUUGGUCUCACGACUGGUCCCUCUCAGUCUGGGCCAGGGCUGUGUGGACCGACGGGUGAGCAGGUCCACAGGCAUUGUGACUAUUCUCUUCAAGUCUCCAGAAGGCCACCAAGAGGCAGAAGGGGCAGGAGGCAGCAGAGGCUGAGUGGGCAGAUGACGCCCUGAAGAACUGCUUCAGACCCUGUCCAGGACGGCCUUCUGCCCCACAGAGCCAGGUCAGGAGCAGUGGAGUGGGCACCCACGCUGGCUGUCUUCAGGCAGAGGCUAGAGGGCCAUCCACCAGGCCACCUGCACAAUGUGAACCUGACCUGGGAAGGGCCAAGGGCCUGGAGGACCUGAGAGAGGCCAUGUAGCAUGGUGGUCAGCACAGAGCUUCUACUACCAGGCUGCCCAAGCCAAUGGUCCAUGUCCUGGCGCCAUGGCCUCCCAGCUGGGCGGCUGAAGGCAAAUCAUUUACCUCUCUAUGCCCUAGUUUUCUCACUUGUAAAGUGGAGAUGACGAUCCUUCCUCAAAGAGCCCUGUAAGGACUGUGUAUGGAUGUGUGCAUCCUAGAACAGUGCCUGGCGCUGUUGUCAUUUUUAUGCCAAGUCAGAUGAAGGCGCUGACUGGCUGGAGGCCAGCCAGGUUGUGUGCCAACAAAUGCCAUAUGGCUUCGGGGCCCAGCUUUCUCUCUCCACAGCCUCCAACCGGUGAGCCAGGUUCUCCUUGAGAUUGGCAGGGGUGGGAGCAGCAUGGGUAUGUGCCCACCUGCCGCUGCCCUCAGCCAGGGCCCCUCGACAGACAUUCUCCACGGUUCAUUCAUCAUUUGCUUGCUGGCCAGGUUGAGCGGUGAAGGGGAGGAGCUUCGUUCUCUAGAUCACAGGAGCUUUCUCUGGGCUGCCGGAGUGCCCAGGCUAGGUGCUGCAAACUCCUGCAGCGAUUGCCAGUGAGAACUGAAGAUGACUGGGCUUCUGUGACGGCUGGGGACUUGGAAAACUUUUGUGUCUAGCUAAAGGAUUAUAAACGCACCAAUCAGCACUCUCUGUCUAGCUAAAGGUUUGUAAAUGCACCAAUCAGCACUCUGUGUUUAGCUAAGGGAGUGGGGACUUGGAGAACGUUUGUGUCUAGCUGAAGGAUUGUAACGCACCAAUCAGCACUCUGUGUCUAGCUAAAGGUUUGUAAACGCACCAAUCAGCUCUCUGUCAAAAUGGACCAAUCAGCUCUCUGUAAAAUGUACCAAUCAGCUCUCUGUAAAAUGGGCCAAUCAGCUCUCUAUAAAAUGGACCAAUCAGCAGGAUGUGGGUGGGGCCAGAUAAGGGAAUAAAAGAGGGCCACCUGAGUCAGCAGUGGCAACCUGGUCGGUUCUAUUUCCCUGUUUUGGGAUGUCUGUGUUUUUCCUGUUUGCAAUAAAUCUUGUUGCUGUUCUCUGUUUGGGUCCCUGCCAUUUUUUAUGAACUGUAACACUCACCGGGAU